rnacentral:rRNA from 1 species
AACGAACGCUGGCGGCAUGCCUAACACAUGCAAGUCGAACGAGACCUUCGGGUCUAGUGGCGCACGGGUGCGUAACGCGUGGGAACCUGCCCUUAGGUUCGGAUUAACUCCCCGAAAGGGGUGCUAAUACCGGAUAAUGUCUUCGGACCAAAGAUUUAUCGCCUUUGGAUGGGCCCGCGUUGGAUUAGCUAGUUGGUAGGGUAAAAGCCUACCAAGGCGACGAUCCAUAGCUGGUCUGAGAGGAUGAUCAGCCACACUGGGACUGAGACACGGCCCAGACUCCUACGGGAGGCAGCAGUGGGGAAUAUUGGACAAUGGGCGAAAGCCUGAUCCAGCAAUGCCGCGUGAGUGAUGAAGGCCUUAGGGCUGUAAAGCUCUUUUACCCGGGAUGAUAAUGACAGUACCGGGAGAAUAAGCUCCGGCUAACUCCGUG